GUACUGAUAGGUCGGGUGUGGAAGCACAGUAAUGUGUGUAGCUAACCGAUACUAAUAGCUUCGAUUGAUUUACUUUG
rnacentral:rRNA from 1 species